AAUUUAUUUUUUAAUCUAUUUCAUUUUAAUGUUUAAUGGAGUCGCGACACAGUGUCCAUGUCACGUGAGCGCGCACAUAAAAAGAAUUGAAAAGACAAGACAAAAA
rnacentral:ribozyme from 1 species